rnacentral:rRNA from 1 species
ACUCAAAGGAAUUGACGGGGGCCCGCACAAGCGGUGGAGCAUGUUGUUUAAUACGUCACUAACCGUAGAACCUUACCAGGGUUUGACAUCUGGCGCACCGGGGUGAAAGCCUCGUUCCGAGCAAUCGGACGCCAAGACAGGUGUUGCAUGGCUGUCGUCAGCUCGUGUCGUGAGAUGUUGGGUUAAGUCCCGCAACGAGCGCAACCCUCAUCCCAUGUUGCCAACGGGUCGUGCCGGGAACUCUUGGGAAACUGCCUGUGUAAGCAGGAGGAAGGUGAGGAUGACGUCAAGUCAGCAUGGCCCUUACAUCCUGGGCUACAAACAUGCUACAAUGGACGGUAGACAGAGGGAUCCGAGGCGGCGACGCGGAGGUAAUCUCAAAAAUCCGUUCUCAGUUCGGAUCGCAGGCUGCAACUCGCCUGCGUGAAGUCGGAAUCGCUAGUAACCGCAGGUCAGCCAAACUGCGGUGAAUACGUUCCCGGGCCUUGCACACACCGCCCGU